rnacentral:misc_RNA from 1 species
ACUCCACAACCAGCUGCAGG